AAAUUUAUUUAAUUAUUUUUAUUAUUUUUAUUAUAUUUUUUUUUAUUAAAAAUAUUUUUAAUAUUAUUAGUUUGAGUAUAGUUUAUAGAAAGAAUUUUUUUUGUUAUAGUUUAAUUGUAUUGAAAAAGAAUUUUUAAAUAUAUUUUAAAUAUUUAAAUGUAAAAAAGUAAUUAAUUUUGGUGUACCUUGUGUAUCAGGGUUUAUUAAAUUAAUAAUAUUAAUAAUAUUUUUCUCGAAAAAAAAAGAUUUAAUUAAUUAUGAUAGUUAAUGUUAUAAAAUUAUUUAAAAUAAUUAAUUUGCAAAUGAUACGUUAUUCGUUUUUUUUGAUAUCUAGUUUUUUGAUAAAUGAAUUUAAUUCAUAUAUUAAAUAUAAUUUAUUUUAAAUUGUAAAUUUAAAUUUUAUUAAUAUAAAUAUUUAAGGGGGNAUAAGCUUUUAAAUAAAUUUUUAUAAUAUAUAUAUAUAUAUAUAUAUAUAUAUAUAUAUAUAUAUAUAUAUAUAUAUAUAAUUUAUUAUUUAGUCUUAAAAAUAGAUAUAAUUUUAAAAAUGUUAUAAUUUAUUAAAUUUAUAAUAAGAUNUUUUUUUAUUUAAUUUUUUUAUUAAAAUAUUUAAUUUAAUUAUAAAUUUAAAUUAAUAAUGAUAAAAUUAGUAAAUUUUGUUGUAGUUAAUAUUUUUUUUUGAAAAAUUUUAUUAAGGAAUUCGGCAAAAAUAUUUAUUCCGCCUGUUUAACAAAAACAGUCUUUUUGAAUAUAAUUUAAAGUCUAAUCUGCCCAAUGAUUUAUUUAAUGGCCGCAGUAUUUUGACUGUGCAAAGGUAGCAUAAUAAUUAGUCUUUUAAUUGGAGGGCUGGUAUGAAGGAUUGGACGAGAUAAAUACUGUCUCAAUUAAAUUAUGAUUUAAUUUAAUUUUUAAGUAAAAAAGCUUAAAUUUAAUUAUAGGACGAGAAGACCCCAUAGAGUUUUAUAUUAACUUUUAUAUUUUCUAUUAAAUUAUAUUAAAUUAUAUUUUAAUAUUUUAUUGGGGCGAUAGAAAAAUUUAAUAAACUUUUUUAAUAUUUAUACAAAGAUUAUUGAAAUGUUGAUCCUAAAUUUUAGAUUAUUAGAUUAAGUUACCUUGGGGAUAACAGCGUUAUUUUUUUUAGAAGUUCAUAUUAAUAGAAAAGAUUGCGACCUCGAUGUUGGAUUAAAAUAAUUUUUUGGUGUAGAAGCUAAAAUAUUAGGUCUGUUCGACCUUUAAAUUUUUACAUGAUCUGAGUUCAAACCGGUGUAAGCCAGGUUGGUUUCUAUCCUUAAUUUUUUUUUAUAUUUUAGUACGAAAGGAUUAAAUAUAGGAAAUAAUUUUUUAUUUAAGAAUAUUAUUAAU
rnacentral:rRNA from 1 species